UGAUUUUCCAUGUUUGCAACCUUUUUUUUUUUUUUUUGCCUUACUUCAUUCCGAUAUUAUUAUUAUUAUUAUUAUUAAAUAGAGAAGAACAUGAAUUGAAUGUUGAUUUCAAUUCGAAGAUAAGGGUAACUUGUAUGGUAACAUAUCACCUUCACAUUUUGUAUUAUAAUUUAUUCAUAUGGCAUACCAUAUUAACUCCUUGUUGUAAAUGUACAUAGCCUUUUUUUUUUUCUUCUUCUUCCAGAUGAUAUAGACC
rnacentral:lncRNA from 1 species